rnacentral:rRNA from 1 species
GACGAACGCUGGCGGCGUGCCUAAUACAUGCAAGUUGAGCGCUGAAGGUUGGUACUUGUACCAACUGGAUGAGCAGCGAACGGGUGAGUAACGCGUGGGGAAUCUGCCUUUGAGCGGGGGACAACAUUUGGAAACGAAUGCUAAUACCGCAUAAAAACUUUAAACACAAGUUUUAAGUUUGAAAGAUGCAAUUGCAUCACUCAAAGAUGAUCCCGCGUUGUAUUAGCUAGUUGGUGAGGUAAAGGCUCACCAAGGCGAUGAUACAUAGCCGACCUGAGAGGGUGAUCGGCCAAAAUGGGACUGAGACACGGCCCAAACUCCUACGGGAGGGAGCAGGAGGGGAUCUUCGGCAAUGGAGGAAAGUCUGAACGGGCAACGCCGCGGGAGUGAAGAAGGGUCUCGGAUCGUAAAACUCUGUUGGUAGGGAAGAAAGUUGGUGAGAGUGGAAAGCUCAUCAAGUGACGGUAACUACCCAGAAAGGGACGGCUAACUACGUG